CCUGGCGGCCGUAGCGCGGUUGUCCCACCUGACCCCAUGCCGAACUCAGAAGUGAAACGCCGUAGCGCCG
rnacentral:rRNA from 1 species